GGGCCACAAGACUAUUAGUGGGGUAAUGAAACCCAAGCAGGACCAAGAUUUCCUUCCCUAGCUUUAGUAGCAAUCCAAUUUGCACAUCUAUUGGCUAAACAAGGACCUCAAGCAAUUUGAUUCUGCUUGAGAAAUCUUUACGGGUAUGAUUACGCAAAAUAAGAAGAAUAGUAGUGGUUAGCUUAUAAAACCUCUCUGAUGUACAUGCUUUAAGUCACUUUCAU
rnacentral:misc_RNA from 1 species